CCUACGGGAGGCAGCAGUAGGGAAUCUUUCACAAUGGGCGAAAGCCUGAUGGAGCAACGCCGCGUGCAGGAUGAAGGCCUUCGGGUUGUAAACUGCUUUUAUAAGGGAAGAACAUGAUGGUAACUUAUGAAUAAGGAUCGGCUAACUACGUGCCAGCAGCCGCGGGCAUACGUAGGAGCCGAGCAUUAUCUGGAGCGAUGGUGGGGAAAGAGUUGCGUAGUUGGCAUAAUAAGUAGCUAGUGAAACCUGUUGGUUCAAACAUUCAGACUGUUUGCUACACUGUUAAGCUCGAGAGAGUUAGGGGUAACUGGAAUUUCAAGUGUAGGAGUGAAAUCCGUAGAUAUAAGGAGGAACACCAAUGGCGAAGGCAGGUUACUGGGACGGUUCUGACACUGAGGGACGAAAGCGUAGGGAGCAAACGGGAUUAGAUACCCGGGUAGUC
rnacentral:rRNA from 1 species